ACUGUGUGCCAGGUGCUGUGUUGGAAGCCACAGACACAUGGAGGGGACAGAUCCUGCCCUUGGAGGAACAAAGAAUUGCACACGUCGGGUGAUGACAGAAGUGCACAGGUGGCAAGGCGAAGAAGAAGGGAGCAGAGGCCAUGGGAGAAGGCACUGGGCGGCCCCUGGUACCCCGCCAACAGCAUCCGGCAGACGAGUGAAGCUGUGCUCUCACUGACAUCAUGGGGGGACCCCCGGCAGGUGUCAGACACACCGUCCUCGGCCGACUACGUGAUGCCCGCCCGUACCGGGAAGGGCGGUCUUUACUCCGCCCCUGAACAAACGCUGAUCUCUUCUGAAACGCACCAGAGACGCAGAAAUAAUGUUUUAGCAGCUAUCUGGCUGGUCAGGCUGGCACACACAAUUAACCGUCACCCAAGGUCUGCAGGGAACACCCUGAGUUUGGACCCUCUCGGGGAGUUCAGGGCUCUCUUGGGCAGGAGCCACCCCGUCCUCCUUGCUCGGCCCUGCAGUAAACCUUCCUCUGCUCCAGACU